AACGAACGCUGGCGGCAGGCCUAACACAUGCAAGUCGAACGCCCGUAGCAAUACGGGAGUGGCAGACGGGUGAGUAACGCGUGGGAACGUGCCCUUCGGUUCGGAAUAACUCAGGGAAACUUGAGCUAAUACCGGAUACGUCCGUAAGGAGAAAGAUUUAUCGCCGAAGGAUCGGCCCGCGUCGGAUUAGCUAGUUGGUGAGGUAACGGCCCACCAAGGCGACGAUCCGUAGCUGGUCUGAGAGGANGAUCAGCCACACUGGGACUGAGACACGGCCCAGACUCCUACGGGAGGCAGCAGUGGGGAAUAUUGGACAAUGGGCGAAAGCCUGAUCCAGCCAUGCCGCGUGAGUGAAGAAGGCCUUAGGGUUGUAAAGCUCUUUCAGCGGGAAGAUAAUGACGGUACCCGCAGAAGAAGCCCCGG
rnacentral:rRNA from 1 species